rnacentral:rRNA from 1 species
AAUGAACGUUGGCGGCGUGGAUUAGGCAUGCAAGUCGCGCGAGAAAUUUUCUUCGGAGAAUGGAAAGCGGCGGAAGGGAGAGGAUAAGGUAGAAAUCUACCCUCGGGACGGGGAUAGCUGCGGGAAACUGCUGGUAAUACCCGAUAAUAUCUUUGGAUCAAAGGUGUGAUUCCGCCUGAGGAUGAGUCUACUUCCUAUUAGCUAGUUGGCAGGGUAAUGGCCUACCAAGGCAACGAUGGGUAGCGGGUGUGAGAGCAUGACCCGCCUCACUGGGACUGAGAACUGCCCAGACACCUACGGGUGGCUGCAGUCGAGAAUCUUCGGCAAUGGGCGCAAGCCUGACCGAGCGACGCCGCGUGCGGGAUGAAGGCCUUCGGGUUGUAAACCGCUGUCGUAGAGGAGCAAAUGCAUGGGGGUUCUCCCCUGUGCUUGACCUAUCCAAGGAGGAAGUACGGGCUAAGUUCGUGCCAGCCGCCGCAGUAA